AGCGAACGCUGGCGGCAGGCCUAACACAUGCAAGUCGAACGGACCUUUCGGGGUUAGUGGCGGACGGGUGAGUAACACGUGGGAACGUGCCUUUAGGUUCGGAAUAGCUCCUGGAAACGGGUGGUAAUGCCGAAUGUGCCCUUCGGGGGAAAGAGUUAUCGCCUUUAGAGCGGCCCGCGUCUGAUUAGCUAGUGGGUGAGGUAAAGGCUCACCAAGGCGACGAUCAGUAGCUGGUCUGAGAGGAUGACCAGCCACAUUGGGACUGAGACACGGCCCAAACUCCUACGGGAGGCAGCAGUGGGGAAUCUUGCGCAAUGGGCGAAAGCCUGACGCAGCCAUGCCGCGUGGAUGAUGAAGGUCUUAGGAUUGUAAAAUCCUUUCACCGGUGAAGAUAAUGACUGUAGCCGGAGAAGAAGCCCCGGCUAACUUCGUGCCAGCCGCCGCAGUAAAAC
rnacentral:rRNA from 1 species